UACGAACUGUGCAAACGUUAUUCGGAAUCACUGGGCUUACAGGGUGCGUAGGCGGCCUGACAAGUAGGGUGUGAAAGCCCCCCGGCUCAACCGGGGAAUGGCGCCCUAAACUGUCGGGCUGGAGUGAGAUAGGGGUGUGCGGAACUUCCGGUGGAGCGGUGAAAUGUGUUGAUAUCGGAAGGAACGCCGGUGGCGAAAGCGGCACACUGGAUCUCAACUGACCGCUGAGGCACGAAAGCCAGGGGAGCGAACGGGG
rnacentral:rRNA from 1 species